rnacentral:lncRNA from 1 species
AAAACAGGCCACAGGGCCCGUAUCUAUGGGACAUUACAUAACUCUAUCCUGUUCACAUCUCCAUUACUCUUCUCUCCUCUCCCCAAGUCAGCCUAAGAAGAUGUCUUCUACUUGAGUGUCAAGGAAGCCCCCUAUCCUUCAAGGUGCUUCUUUUCAAUGUCCUAUCCAUGCCCAAUACCCAAAGUAGCUCUAUUAUCCUGAGAAGAAGAAGCCAGGAAGAACCUUUCUGCUCUGCUUUUCAACCUGUCAUGAACUUCCCCUAAGGAAAUAAGCACAGAGGAUGAUCUUACUUGAAGGGAGAAGGAGAGUGCCAGCCAGAGAAAAGCAGGAUGCUGCCAGAGCAUGGCUUGAUGUGUGAUGUGUAGUUCCACACCCGGGAUCCAAACCCACAAACCCUGGGCUGCUGAAGGUUGGCCAGGGUGAGCCUCAUUGACAAGCUGAGAUUUGAGAGAAGACUCAAAAGGUAUGGAGCCAGCCAAGAAGAUAGCAGAAUUUCAGAGCCAAGAGCAGAAGCGGGAGCCAUGCUGGAAGAGUAUUGCAGUAACUGAG